rnacentral:rRNA from 1 species
AUACGUAGGGGGCGAGCGUUGUCCGGAAUGAUUGGGCGUAAAGGGCGCGUAGGCGGCCCGGUAAGUCUGGAGUGAAAGUCCUGUUUUUAAGAUGGGAAUUGCUUUGGAUACUGUCGGGCUUGAGUGCAGGAGAGGUAAGUGGAAUUCCCAGUGUAGCGGUGAAAUGCGUAGAGAUUGGGAGGAACACCAGUGGCGAAGGCGACUUACUGGACGGUAACUGACGCUGAGGCGCGGAAGCGUGGGGAGCAAACAGGAUUAGAUUCCCUGGUAGUCCACGCUGUAAACGAUGAAUACUAGGUGUAGGGGGUAUCGACGCCCUCUGUGCCGCAGUUAACACAAUAAGUAUUCCGCCUGGGGAGUACGGCCGCAAGGUUGAAACUCAAAUGAAUUGACGGGG